GAGUUUGAUCAUGGCUCAGGACGAACGCUGGCGGCGUGCCUAAUACAUGCAAGUCGAGCGAGCUUGCCUAGAUGAUUUUAGUGCUUGCACUAAAUGAAACUAGAUACAAGCGAGCGGCGGACGGGUGAGUAACACGUGGGUAACCUGCCCAAGAGACUGGGAUAACACCUGGAAACAGAUGCUAAUACCGGAUAACAACACUAGACGCAUGUCUAGAGUUUGAAAGAUGGUUCUGCUAUCACUCUUGGAUGGACCUGCGGUGCAUUAGCUAGUUGGUAAGGUAACGGCUUACCAAGGCAAUGAUGCAUAGCCGAGUUGAGAGACUGAUCGGCCACAUUGGGACUGAGACACGGCCCAAACUCCUACGGGAGGCAGCAGUAGGGAAUCUUCCACAAUGGACGAAAGUCUGAUGGAGCAACGCCGCGUGAGUGAAGAAGGGUUUCGGCUCGUAAAGCUCUGUUGGUAGUGAAGAAAGAUAGAGGUAGUAACUGGCC
rnacentral:rRNA from 1 species